UACAGAGGUCUCAAGCGUUGUUCGGAUUCAUUGGGCGUAAAGGGCGCGUAGGCGGCGGGGCAAGUCGGAUGUGAAAUCUCAGGGCUCAACCCUGAAACUGCAUUCGAUACUGCCUUGCUCGAGGACUGGAGAGGAGAUUGGAAUUCACGGUGUAGCAGUGAAAUGCGUAGAUAUCGUGAGGAAGACCAGUGGCGAAGGCGGAUCUCUGGACAGUUCCUGACGCUGAGGCACGAAGGCCAGGGGAGCAAACGGG
rnacentral:rRNA from 1 species